CGCGCGAGGGGAAGACGCCGCCAGUCCAUGGACGAGCGCCUGAAGGAGGGAGGGCUCCACCAGCACCUCCAUCGCUGCUUCCUCCUCCCCUCCCUUCCUCUCCGCGAUUUCGCGCCGCCAUGGGGCUUUCACCUGAUGAAACCUGUAGCGUGGAGGAGGCCACCAAUGAAGCUACUGCUGCUGCACCAUUUGUCGGUAAAUCUCCUCCUCAUGGCCUCCUUGUCUCCUCCCCUCACUCAUCGUGGCUACGUUUGUCCGUGUUAAUGCUGCUAGGGAUGACAAGAUCGUGAGUCCUCCAGGAGCGUUGGGUGUCAUUUAUAUUGUUCUCCUACCGUGAGGAUGCAAAAGGAUUAGCAUACACCAAUUUUGCACAUCAUUUAUAUACAGGCAAAGAAACUCUCAUGCUCAACGAUUCCGCGAGACCUCCGAUUCUGCAAGGACAUAUGGAUGCAGAGCAUCAGCAGCGAUGUCACUGGUUUGGUUAAAAAGGGCCAACAUGGAAUUGGAGAAGAAGUCACCUAACCAGGUUAUCACGGGUUAACCGGGGUUGGUGUCAGGGAGAGUGCACAAAGAUGGAGUACUCGGUGGACGUAUGGUCAGGGAACCAAAGCCUACUAUGUCACAACUCCUUCGCAUUGGUUGUCAUGGACAACCAGAUCUAAGGUAGCAGCAGAUCAUCUUUCUACAUUCUUCUUCAUCACCUUCACCUUUGGAUUAACUUUGCUUGGAGAUUAGAUGACGUUGUUUUGUAUUGCUUGUGCACAAAAAAUUAUGUCUAUUUCACUUACACUAGCUUCUGUCGAUCAAUGUUUAAAUGAAUUCGUGUAGCCUCUUAUAUAUGGUGCAACAUUAGGUAUUACAAUGAGAGGUAAGCCCUUUGAUUACAAAUAUGUUUUUGAGUGUCAGGUGGAAGGUGAUUGUGACCCACACUUUUGCUCUAUGUUGUGUUAGAGAAAAAAAAUCAGGCCGGAGGAUACAUGUGAGGUGCUCAAUCUGGUGGAUUCGGUUGUGGCAAGUGUGCUGGCCAAUCGGUGUUUGUUUGAAGAGGGAUGGAAAUAAGUCAGUGAGUCAUACAUGCACACCGGAGAAUAUAUGUGCAGAUCUGGGCAAGGUGCUGCUGCAUCCCAGCUUUAGAGAACUUCCUCAAUGGGCAUUCGUAGGUGUUGGCAUGCGUUUGUUUCACAGGUGUGGAACUGAUGGCCUUAUACAUCAACAUGUAGAGUGGUUACUGGGCACAAUGUAGCGGUUCCAUUAUGCUUCUCAUGCCUCGCCUCCUCACUGCGAGAUAUGGUGAAACAUGAGAGGUGGCAAUAUCUAAAGGAAUGGCUGCACUCACCACAAUUAGAUCAUCGGUGGUACUGCCAAAGAUGAUUCAGGUGAUGAAUGGCUUAAUCUGGAUCAAAUGUAGGGCUGCACUCACCACAAAUAUGAUCAUCGGUGGUACUGCCAAAGAUGAUUCAGGUGAUGAGUGGCUUAAUCUGGAGCAAAAGGUGAAUUUGUAUCCCAACGAACCGAGGAUUUACAACAAUUGGUAUUGGAGGUGAAGAAUUUUCUCCCGCAAUGGUUGAUGUUGUUGAAUCAGUUCUUCAAGAGCCAAUUCCCAAGGUUGGUCUGCAUUUGUUGAAGAAAUUUGUCAAUUAAAGGCUGGAGUAUCUGUGAACUGAAGAGGAAUGACGAGGAAUUUUUCGUUCUCGGCCCCUUUGAUUUGUUGGUACAAAUGUCCGAUGUCGUUUGUACAGUGUUGUCAAAGAGGGUUGUAUUUUAUCUGUCAAGAGAGCCCUGUUUUGGAGUUGCUUCCUCAAAUUGGGUCUGAAGAGGUUGGUUCAGCUAGGGAUUUGGACCCGCCACCUGACCUGCCUAAUGAUAAAAGGCCGCUGUCACAGAAAGUUGCGGCAACUGUGGCAAAUGUUCAGACAAAGAAGAGGUCCUAGAUCAAUAGCCUGGAGGGGACCUUAGGUUGGCACUUAACAUUGCUCGGCUCACCUUGUUUUUAUACCGAAGACCUGGGUUAAUUCUAAAUUUGAAGAUGGGCUUGGAUAGCGGGUGCAGAACCUAAAUUUGAAGAUGUGCAAUGCUAUUUCUCGAUUACAAUGGCAAAAUAUAAUAAGUGUUCUAUAGGGCAAGGAUUAUUUUUCCGCUUGGACUAGCUAAGAAGGUCAUAUGAGUUCGGAAAUUCAAUUCGGCUCCCGGAUUGUGGGCUGCUGCAGGCAUAUGCAGUAUAUUCAUCACAUUUAUAUGUUCUGUUUCGAAUCAACUGGACCUAGCGACAACAAGACUGUUAUCAACUGAUCUGUCAGGAGAGUGUUGUUCCAGGAAUCGCUCGCCUCGGAUUGGGUCUGAAGGUGUGUUUCAGUUGGCACCUCCGGUUGAGUUUGAGGAGAUAAUUUUUUUACACAUUGUCCGGUCCUGCAUAAGCUAUGAAACAAUAUGGUAAGACAAAUUUAGAAGCUUUUAUAUAAUCUACAGAUAUCACUUGGCAGGCCAAUAAAUAUCACUUUGGAAAAAAUUUCCUCAGUGAAGCAACCAAAUAUGAAGCAAAGAUUAAGGAGAAAGCAAGGACAAUGAAAACCACUUCUGUAUAACCAAGAUGAUAGUUGGUUGUAUAUAAAUUCUUCUCAGAUAAUGAUUUCGUCUUGGUUCCUUCCUCCAUUACUCUCUAAGCUACAUAGAAAAUGUUUGACAUAAUGUUUAUCAGUGUAAAAGAUGGAGCCCGAACAUCAUAGUAAAAAAGCAUAAGGCGUAGAUCUUAUGCUUUUUACUAUAUUUUGGUUGCACACACUGCCACUGAGCUUAGCAUUUUGCAUCUAUUUGUAUAUUGGUAUGUUUUUUUUUUUGCUACAAUUCCCGAACAAUGGUUAUAUCCGUGUAUCUGUCUAAGAGAUUGCUCACCUAUUUGGUACACUUAGUUUGCUACUCCGUUUGUAGUUCUGUGUGA